AGUGAACGCUGGCGGUAGGCCUAACACAUGCAAGUCGAACGGCAGCACAGUAAGAGCUUGCUCUUACGGGUGGCGAGUGGCGGACGGGUGAGGAAUACAUCGGAAUCUACUUUUUCGUGGGUGAUAACGUAGGGAAACUUACGCUAAUACCUCAUACGACCUACGGGUGAAAGCAUGGGAUCUUCGGACCUUGCGCGUUUGAAUGAGCCGAUGUCGGAUUAGCUAGUUGGCGGGGUAAAGGCCCACCAAGGCGACGAUCCGUAGCUGGUCUGAGAGGAUGAUCAGCCACACUGGAACUGAGACACGGUCCAGACUCCUACGGGAGGCAGCAGUGGGGAAUAUUGGACAAUGGGCGCAAGCAUGAUCCAGCCAUACCGCGUGGGUGAAGAAGGCCUUCGGGUUGUAAAGCCCUUUUGUUGGGAAAGAAAAGCAGCAGGUUAAUACCCCGCUGUUCUGACGGUACCCAAAGAAUAAGCACCGGCUAACUUCGUG
rnacentral:rRNA from 1 species